rnacentral:rRNA from 1 species
CAUCUCAAAUGUCUAGUAGUAAAAAAGGGCCGUAGCAAGCAAGCUAGGAGAAGGUGGGGGGACUAGGUAGGUAAGGCCGGUACCUGAGGUUGCGGUUGCCGCCCGCGUCGUGCUACCAUCCCCUCUACCUCUCGUCGAACCUCGCCCAGUCCGCCGUCGAGAGGAGGUGGAGGUGGGCGGUAUAGGAGGUCCCGGGAGAGAACUUCGCUAGGCUAUGUGAUUCCUUUACCUUACUCGCCACCCAAUAUGAACUAGGUCGAUGACCUUUCUACCUUAUGUUCCAAGCAUCUUCACUAUGUUGACACUCCCCUUAUUAACACAAGCUAAGUUGUUCGUGGCAGUGAAACAGUGGAUGGUUGAAAGUACCUGACGGUUUUAUACUUCCUACAACACAUACAUAGGAAUACCUCAUCGAGAUCCAAUAAAACAAGCGAAAUAAUAGUAUAUACCCGAACUAGUUAACAAAACAAUUAACUGAUCACAAUAUCUAUAACCCUGAGGUGUCUUUUUCCUCAUGAAAGAAACACGUCUUUGAGGGUCGCGACGUUCUCGUACCCAUAGAUGAAAUGUACGUUGAGUCAACCAGGAUGUCCGAGUAUUUGUCCGCCACCUAAGUAACCCACCUUUACCAAGACGUUUUAACCCUUGUCAACGAUGACAACACCGACACCGGUUACGUUGACGCUAACUUCGUAGGUUUCUCCAUCUUCGUCGCUACUUCUAGAGGGACGCCCGUCGAAAUCCGAGUUGAUGUUUAUUUGAAUCAUUUCCAGUUAAUCUACUAGAGUGUUAGUACUACCUCUGGGAAGCUCAAUUUCUACUACUUGACGUGGUCGAUAACGUCCUAUAGGCACGUGCCCUAAGGUGGUAGUCCCUCUAAUGUCUAUUUAAUGUCCUCUGACGACUCCGUCGACUUAGACGACGAAGACGACGAGUACGUUAACUACUUCGUUCUUCUAAAAAUAGAAGUCUUGAACUUGCGGACUUUGUUCUAGUCCUUUUAGUUCAACUUAACAGGAACGAAUCCAAACUUGACCGAAAAUACAAUUGUCGAUUCCCUUAGUCUUCUCUUCAGUUUCGAAGAACGACUUCUUUCUCUCGUAAAUGAGUUCCUUUCUCUAAGACGAGAAGUUCUUCGAGUCUACACCGCGAGACUUGAACCUUUUCGAUCUCCUUUACGACAGUAAAAUCUUCGUCGACAGCACUCUCGACUUCUCUUUCGAUCCCAAAGUCGUCGGCUACGACUGUACGCUUAUUUCCUUCGACACUCAUUCGAGCUCAGACGACGCUUUCUUUUUCUUCUUGAGAAUCGAGAGGACCUACGAGAUUUUAGUGUUUAUGUUUCCGUUCUCUGAUCGUGUUUUGUUUAGACACUCCUUUCCAGUCUCGAUACGAGAUGAAGUUUCGUGUACCUGUACCUGCUUCUAUUGCACCUAUUCCGAACAAAUUCGCUAUGUCUGGACUAUGGGUAACGCCUCUUGUAUCAGCUCAACCUACUGCUCCCUCAGCUAUAUGCAUGCUAGCCCCUAUGCCUCACCCUUUUAGGAGUAAGGAGACUUCAUAGACUACAUUCCCUCCACUGGUGUCUUCGACUUCUUUUGUCGAACCUAUAAGGACAACUAUCGGUCGGUCAACGACUGCUAUGAAAGGUUCCGAUCUGACCUGAAAAGUAGAGCCAAGUACCGCUUGUAAGAAUAUUAGAAUAAGGCAAAAGCGUAACUGGGUCUCAAGGCAGUGUCGAAAACAACGAGUAGACAUUUGGACUCACUUUGUUUUUCUUCUCAACCUAGUAGUUCACAUGGUAACCGAUAGUACAACUUGUCAAAUGUGGAUGACAACAUUCCAAUCAGAAAAAAAAAACUUCGAGACGUGAGGCCUUAAAUAAGUUAGUCGCCACAUCUUCUGGUGAGUCUUUC